rnacentral:rRNA from 1 species
UUGAUAAUGAGAGCAAUCAAGUGCCUUAAGGGUGUUCGGUGGAUGCCUUGGCGCUGAGAGGCGAUGAAGGACGUGCUACGCUGCGAUAAGCCGUGGGGAGCUGCGAAGAAGCUUUGAUCCGCGGAUUUCCGAAUGGGGAAACCCACCUUCGAUAGCCGGAACUCCAAGACCUUUGUCGAAAGACAUCGGUGUGGGGUUCGACCAGAUAAUGGAAGAAGCCAGGCCUUUAGAUUUCGAUCGAAGAGGUUUUGGAUUUCCGGUUAUCAAGAGAAGGUAUGAGACUUCUGAAUACAUAGGAGGUUUCAAGCAAACCCAGGGAACUGAAACAUCUAAGUACCUGGAGGAAAGGACAUCAACAGAG